rnacentral:lncRNA from 1 species
AGAAACUUUACAGGAAGCCCGUCAUUAUGAAAUGGAUGCAAUAAGGAAGAAAGAGAAUUAAGUAAAACUCACUAGAAAUCUUGUGAGCAUUUGGCUUUAACUGAUUUUGCACAUGCAUGUACUCAUUCACUAUUUUGUCUCAAUUUCUUAGGUGUAGAAUGUAUUAGAAGAAUUCAGUGAGAAUAUAGAAAGGCUCUGUGAGAAAAAUUCUCAAAGGUUAGUACUAUAUAUAUCCAAUAGUCAUUUUUUGGAGAUUAUCUCCCCUUUUUUCUCCGCAAUUUUGUCCUGUUGAUAAGUUGGAGAUUUGAUUGGUUCCACAUACUUCUGAACAAUCUGCUUCUGUAAAGUUCAACUUUUUUGCUAAGCAACAUAUUUGUGUUCUUUCAAAUUCACAAAUAUUGAUUAUUUAUGAAGUGAAGUGAAAUUAUUUAUCAUAUAGGACUCGACAACGUGAACAAGAUAUCACCUUCAGGUCAUUUAGGUUGGGCCUGUAUUGACUAAUUUGGUUGAAGGUUGAGUAUUUGUGGUCUCUCUCUAUAAUGUUUAUACUCAUGGCUCGUGGGGUGGUUGUACACUCUUGUCAUCACUUACCCAAUUAUAUAUUUAUCAUAUGUAGUCUAGCUGGAACAUGUCUUCACUUAUACAACUAUGUAUUUAUUGUACGUAGCCUGUCUGGAACAAAAUGAUCAAUAUUGUUUGAAGGUAUAUGAGCUUAUUUUUUUCGUACAUGUACAUAAAAAUGUCAUGCUCUAUCCAUAUAGUUAAAUUACUUUAGUUGUAUUGUUAAGGUGAAAAAGACGACACCGAAUUCAACUAUGUUGGGCUGCUAAGAUUUUUUUGGAUUGGGGGGGAGGGGGAGGGAAUGCUUGUUGUGCUACUUAAGCGUUUUUCUCUUUUUAUGUGUUGGGGUGGUGCUUUUUGUUGUUGUUAUGCUGUUGUGUUUGUUCAGAGUCUUUAGAUUAAGAGCUAGGAUGAUUAAAGGUGACAUUUUAGGAUGUGUAAGUGUUUAGUUGAGGUGCUUCUUAGAGUUCAUGUAUUUAUUCAAUUUGUAUAGUAAAAUUGGUUAGAUGAACCUGAUAAGGGUGGUAAUCCUCAAAAGUUAUCUUUUUUUUCUUCUUUAUCAUUUCUUGUUGUUAUAUCCAUGUUUCAUCAGGUGACAUGAAGUUUGGGAAUGUCCUUUGUUCCAAUCUGGACCUUUUAUGCUACUUUGAGCUGUUUUUUUUUCUCUCUUUCUUUCCUUUUAUUGUGGUGUUGGUGUUGUUUUAUUGUUAUUUUGAGCUUGCUUGAUCAGAUUUCUCUUCAAGUGUUGUAGCAAUUGCAUCACAAGUUUGAUGAAAUUUUUCAAAAAUGAUUGAAUCUGCCACUUUUCUUUAUUUGUUUCUAGAGUGAAGGCUGAAAAAAUUACCUGAACUGAAGGAGAAGUGAGUUUCUUAUCUGAAAUAUCACUAUAUGUUCACAUAGGAGAAGUAAACUAUUGAUGGUUGACUUGUGUUUUGACAAAUAGUUGGUGAUAGUUCAUAGUUCAGUGAUGAAAUUCAAAUACCGAAUACUUAAGGUGUGAUUUUUGCCAUUGACUCUUUGUUUCUCAUUUCUUGCACAAUGGUUGUUUGGUUAUUUCCUAUUAAUGAAAUAAUAAUGUA